UCUUCAUUUCACGUGCUCUCUCACUGAUCAGAUAGGUGAGAGUGCGUGAAAUGAAGAGA
rnacentral:pre_miRNA from 1 species